CUAACUAUAAAUCAAAGUACUGUGCUAUUUCCGGAUGAAUUUGCUGCCAUGGAAACCUGUAUGAGGUCACCAGGAGAGCCCUGUUGCUGUGCGGUGUGCGGGAUGCGGGCUUACCUCUCUUACCUGCUAGACAAUGAUGUCCAGUUCUGAAUGGAAUGAGAUAAUGCUGUGUAGCCAAAAUGUCAAGAUAAAGCAAACAAGCAAAAAAUAAAAAUGACAGAUGUUGUUUCUGAACAUGAAGGACCACUCAGGAUGGAGCUACAUGAGAAGGACCCGAAACAGCUCAGCUCUGUGCUGUGAAUGAGGCUGGCAGACUGAAGGCAACUCCAAGAAUGUAGGAUCGUCCAGAGCUGUGGGGACUCUGCUUAGCCGCACGAUGGCACAGUCAUCACCACCCAAACUAUUACUCCCAAAAAAAUGCUUAAAAUCACAGACAUCUUAAUCCUCCUAAUUUCAAUCUUACAUACAAUGCAGAAAGAAGGAGUUAUUAUCAUAUGCAGAAAGAAAACUACUUCAACAACCUCAUGAGCUAGACCUCACUCUCCAUCUCAUUAAAUUCUCACCUGCACAACAAAAUCCAAAGGACAGCUUCCUUUCUCAUUAAAUCAACAAGAAUUUCCAGAUACUCCGUAUAUUAUCCCCAGAAAUUAUACCUGCUUUUAGCUCAUUUUCAUCUACUAAAUUAUUGAAUUUCUAAUCACAUCUAAUAAUGUUCUGAGCUUAAUCCACUGAUUAUAAAAUGCACUGUUUAUCAUUUACAUUUUUGUAUAUAAAUAAGAUGCAUUAAGGUAGCAUUUUGUCAUAGUUAUUUAUGCAGUUGGUCUGAUUAUUGCUCAGCCUCUUCAGCAUGUUACUGAACUUUGAAACAGCUGCUGAAGAAUUUCCUUUAAAUGUAGUCCAUGAUCCUGGGAAGUUUUUCUGACUCAUACAAGUCUGAUUGUACUAAGGACUUGAUAAGAUUUUGCAAUAAAGUAGACUCAUUUUCAACUUGUGAACACACAGGUGAGUAGUGGACACUAGUGGUUUUAUGAGCCAUGGAUUCCAUAUUGCAUGGGAGUGCAGUAGUUCCUUUCUGGAUUGAUUUGUUCACAUGCCACUGGAGAAAAGUUGAAAAAGCCAGGCUAUCAGCUUCCUGGAAGAAGACAGCUGUUGAGGGAGAAAAAAAAAAAAACCUUCAGGAAGGGAGAUUGCAUGAUUCAUGGGUUUGUGAGCAGUCCCCGUGUCUCCUCAGGGGCCUGUGGCCCCAUCCACCCUGACCCAUGUGUAGCGGCUCUUCUCUACCUUUGCUAUGAACCUCUACAUGUACUGACAGCAGGUUAGGUGUCUGGCCCUCUCACUUGCUCUUGACUUUGAUUCUCUGCUAUUCAUUUCAAUGCAACCUAUACUUGUGGCUGAGUGAAGGAAAUAUCUCUGCUGCCAAACAAAGUGUUCAUGUGUUUGUCACAUUUUGAAACAGUCAUUGAUUCCAGAGUGGAAUACCCUUGAGUGAUAAUACUAUGCGACUGUCAGUGGUUCACAAUGCCUAUUAAUAUGUUGUAUCUUUUAAAAGUUGCAUUGAUAAAUAGCCCUGUUUAAGUAUUUCUUUAACCUAGCACCUACCAUAUUCAUCAACUAGAAAGCCCUUUUUUGGGGGUUGUUUGCAUAUUAAUAUGCUUUGUGCACCAUUGUCAGAAAGGGUGCAGGAUGGCUUUUGUUUUGGAGCCUCAGCAGAAAAUAAGACAGGAAUGGCAUUAACUACACAGGAGUAGAUGCUGCGUUUGACAAAAUCAACUCUGGAUGUUAAGAUGACAAAAGCUGGCACCCAGCAGAGGAAGCAUU